rnacentral:rRNA from 1 species
CAUGCAAGUCGAACGGUAACGCGGGGGCAACCCUGGCGACGAGUGGCGAACGGGUGAGUAAUACAUCGGAACGUGCCCAGUAGUGGGGGAUAGCUCGGCGAAAGCCGGAUUAAUACCGCAUACGACCUACGGGUGAAAGCGGGGGAUCGCAAGACCUCGCGCUAUUGGAGCGGCCGAUGGCAGAUUAGCUUGUUGGUGGGGUAAAAGCCUACCAAGGCGACGAUCUGUAGCUGGUCUGAGAGGACGACCAGCCACACUGGGACUGAGACACGGCCCAGACUCCUACGGGAGGCAGCAGUGGGGAAUUUUGGACAAUGGGCGCAAGCCUGAUCCAGCAAUGCCGCGUGUGUGAUGAAGGCCUUCGGGUUGUAAAGCACUUUUGGUGGGAACGAAACGGUCCGGGCUAAUACCCUGGACUAAUGACGGUACCCGCAGAAUAAGCACCGGCUAACUACGUGCCAGCAGCCGCGGUAAUACAGAGGGUGCGAGCGUUAAUCGGAAUUACUGGGCGUAAAGCGCGCGUAGGCGGCUUUGCAAGUCGGGUGUGAAUCCCCAGGCUUAACCUGGGAACUGCAUUCGAGACUGCAUUGCUAGAGUAUGGGAGAGGGAAGUGGAAUUUCCGGUGUAGCGGUGAAAUGCGUAGAUAUCGGAAGGAACAUCAGUGGCGAAAGCGACU